rnacentral:rRNA from 1 species
GUCCUACGGGGCGCAGCAGUGAGGAAUAUUGGUCAAUGGGCGCGAGCCUGAACCAGCCAAGUCGCGUGAGGGAUGAAGGAUCUAUGGUUCGUAAACCUCUUUUAUAAGGGAAUAAAGUGCGGGACGCGUCCCGCUUCGCAUGUACCUUAUGAAUAAGGAUCGGCUAACUCCGUGCCAGCAGCCGCGGUAAUACGGAGGAUGCGAGCGUUAUCCGGAUUUAUUGGGUUUAAAGGGUGCGUAGGCGGAAUAUCAAGUCAGCGGUAAAAAUUCGGGGCUCAACCCCGUCGUGCCGUUGAAACUGAUGU